UGCAGGCAUAGCUCAGCCAGUAGAGCGUGAGACUCUUAAUCUCAGGGUGGUGGGUUCAAGCCCCACGCUGGGCAA